UACAUGGGGUGCAAACGUUGCUCGGAAUUAUUGGGCGUAAAGCGCACGUAGGCGGUUUGUUAAGUCGGAUGUGAAAUCCCUCGGCUCAACUGAGGAAGUGCAUCCGAAACUGGCAGGCUUGAGUAACUAAAGAGGGUCGCGGAAUUCCCGGUGUAGAGGUGAAAUUCGUAGAUAUCGGGAGGAACACCGGUGGCGAAGGCGGCGACCUGGGUAGAUACUGACGCUGAGGUGGCGAAAAGCGGUGGGGAGCAAACAGG
rnacentral:rRNA from 1 species